rnacentral:rRNA from 1 species
GUGGGGAAUAUUGGACAAUGGGGGGAACCCUGAUCCAGCCAUGCCGCGUGUGUGAAGAAGGCCUUUUGGUUGUAAAGCACUUUAAGCGAGGAGGAGGCUACCGAGAUUAAUACUCUUGGAUAGUGGACGUUACUCGCAGAAUAAGCACCGGCUAACUCUGUGCCAGCAGCCGCGGUAAUACAGAGGGUGCAAGCGUUAAUCGGAUUUACUGGGCGUAAAGCGCGCGUAGGUGGCCAAUUAAGUCAAAUGUGAAAUCCCAGAGCUUAACUUGGGAAUUGCAUUCGAUACUGGUUGGCUAGAGUAUGGGAGAGGAUGGUAGAAUUCCAGGUGUAGCGGUGAAAUGCGUAGAGAUCUGGAGGAAUACCGAUGGCGAAGGCAGCCAUCUGGCCUAAUACUGACACUGAGGUGCGAAAGCAUGGGGAGCAAACAGGAUUAGAAACCCUGGUAGUCC